rnacentral:rRNA from 1 species
GCUAAUACCGGAUAACAACAGAUGAUGCCUAUCAACNGUUUAAAAGUAUGGUUCUGCUAUCACUCUUGGAUGGACCUGCGGUGCAUUAGCUAGUUGGUAGGGUAACGGCCUACCAAGGCGAUGAUGCAUAGCCGAGUUGAGAGACUGAUCGGCCACAUUGGGACUGAGACACGGCCCAAACUCCUACGGGAGGCAGCAGCC